GAACAUGGACAGGAACUGGGGGAAGAAGCAUUCUCCCACUGGGUGCUGCUUUCCACCCUCUGAGCCAGUCCCUCACCAGCACACAUGGGAGCAGGCCUGCCUGAGGUGAAGGAGAACACUGACAGGAGGCACAGAUUCAGUUUCUACUCUUCACAUCCUCUGGAAAUACACCUUCCUUCCCAUGGAGCAGAGCUGCUUGCCUUGGGAGCCGAGCCGUGCCAGGACACAGGGAUGCGCUGGCGGCGAGUGCCAUCUUGUGGGGACAGAGCCACGGAGCGGGGACACGGGGACACGGACAGCCCGAGGCACCAGCGGGAUGAUGCGAGCGCCGGGACCGCUCCAGCACCAGCCGCCAAAUUCCCCAUCUCAGAGGCUGAGGCGAGCGUCUUUCUGCCGCUCCGUCAGCUCUCCAGGAGCAGGGAUUAAACCAGACAAGCAACAGCCCACUCGGAGUUCAGACAUUAAACCAGACAUUAAACUCGGAGUUCAGGCAGGUGAGGAUGUUGUGUGUCUUUUCUCAUCUCCCAAAAAAUGUGAACACUGCAUCAGCUGUGCCUUGGAGUUAAGCCUGUAUCAAGGUCUCAUACCAGCACGUUUCAAGACUGUCCUUAAUCUGGAGUGUAAAAUCUCCAUCCUGAAAAAAAAAAAAAAAAAAAAAAAAAAAAAAAAAAAAAAAAGUGCAUUCAUAUUUUAGAUUUACACACAGUUAGAGAAGUACAUUCUAAAUCUUUGCAUGACUGGGGGCAAGGAAGACCAACCUGCUAUUAUUUUUCUUUUCUACUGGCUGUCACACUUCAGUGGCUUCAGCAAGUAAAGGUGAGAGAAAUCAUUUAGUGGCACAUUUCAAGUACAUUUUGCUCAUUUUUGCUCCCAGCUGCAAUUGUCUGUGCUCUGUGGUUUGCAAAACCCUCCAUGCAUGGUGUCCAAGGAAUUCUUAGAGCAAUUUCCUCAUGUAAGACAGGUCAACAUGAAUAAGCAGAGCUGAGUAAAUCACAGCACAGAAAAGUUAAGUGACAUUCCAAAAAUC
rnacentral:lncRNA from 1 species